rnacentral:rRNA from 1 species
ACAAGGCCUUUACUGACGCUAAAGCUCGAAGGUGCGGGUAUCGAACAGGAUUAGAUACCCUGGUAGUUCGCACGGUAAACGAUGGAUGCCCGCUGUUUGCGAUAUACUGUGAGCGGCCAAGAGAAAUCGUUAAGCAUCCCACCUGGGGAGUACGCCGGCAACGGUGAAACUCAAAGGAAUUGACGGGGGCCCGCACAAGCGGAGAAACAUGUGGUUUAAUUCGAUGAUACGCGAGGAACCUUACCCGGGCUUGAACUGCAGCGGAAGGAUACAGAGAUGUUGACGUCCUUCGGGACCGCUGUGGAGGUGCUGCAUGGUUGUCGUCAGCUCGUGCCGUGAGGUGUCGGCUUAAGUGCCAUAACGAGCGCAACCCCUUUCAUUAGUUGCCAUCACUUCGGGUGGGCACUCUGGUGAUACUGCCACCGUAAGGUGUGAGGAAGGUGGGGAUGACGUCAAAUCAGCACGGCCCUUACGUCCGGGGCUACACACGUGUUACAAUGGGUGAUACAGAUGGCCGGUGCAUGGCAAUGUGCAUCAAAUCUUGAAAGUCAUCCUCAGUUCGGAUUGGGGUCUGCAACCCGACCCCAUGAAGCUGGAUUCG